AAUGCGACCUCAGCUCAGGCGGGGCUACCCGCUGAGUUUAAGCAUAUCAAUAAGCGGAGGAAAAGAACUAAC
rnacentral:rRNA from 1 species